CACCUGUGGAGUUUCAGUUUUACGCUUCGCUGCGUAAACAGCGACUUUAUCCAAGAUGCUUUGAGGAAAAGAGUCAUAUCAACGCAAAACACCGCUGCUGGGAUGUUUUUUUGUUUUUUUUUACCUUUUUGAAGCUACAUUCUGUGAUUACUCAGCGGUAAAACCUGAAGGUUUCCAAACGUUUGACCUACUGGACACCGAACCUUCUGUUUCCUCUGAGGCGUUUGGAUAAAACUUAUAAAGUGGGAAUAACAGCACUUCUUAACCCAGCAACCAGCCCAGGUGGCAUCUCAAAGCAACAAUAUGCUGGAAAUAUGAAAUGUGCGGUGACCACUAAAGCCUCCAACCUUUCCGAGACUGAGCUGCAGAAACUCCAGAAGCAGCAGGGAUCUCCGUCAUGAACUUCCGUGGAUUUAAGACAGAAUAUCCCCGUGGAUGGAAACACUUGUGAUGCUGCUGCAGGACAUCAGCGCCAUGGGAGGAAUGCAUCUGCAGAUUAGAGAGAAUCUACAAACAGGACACUCUGGGACCUGGAAGUUGUAAUGUGGAAAUGAUCAACUGAGGCUGAAUGUUGUCAAGAACGGACCAAAGCCAAAGUCCUUAACCCACAAGCGGUGCCAGUGGAGCUGCACCGUGGCCGGAAGAUCAGCCUGCGGUCGAACAGGGCAGCUUCCAGGUGUGAUACCUGCAGCUGUGUGCCUGUGGGCAGCACGUCUUUGCAAAAGAGUAUCGCUCUCAGUGAAACUUCGCUAAUAAAUAAAGAUGAAGAAAUAUAAAAAAACAAAAAAGACUCUCAGAAUACACACGUGGACAAAAUUGUUGGUACCCC
ensembl:lncRNA